rnacentral:rRNA from 1 species
UACGUAGGGUGCAAGCGUUGUCCGGAAUUAUUGGGCGUAAAGAGCUCGUAGGCGGUCUGUCGCGUCGGAUGUGAAAACCCGGGGCUCAACUGGGGAGGGUCAUUCGAUACUGAUCGACUCGAAGGCAGGAGAGGGUAGUGGAAAUUCCCGGUGUAGUGGUGAAAUGCGUAGAGAUCGGGAGGAACACCAGUGGCGAAAGGCGGACUGACCUGGCCAUGUA